rnacentral:lncRNA from 1 species
AGCAUUUGCAGGCAUUCAGCAGAGGGAAACACUACUGAUGCUACAAAACUUGGGGAAAGUAAAAGGUUUGCUCUCAUUUUAAUCUUAUUCUAUUCCUCAUUUAUUUUGAACAGCUAUUGAGUGUCUGUUCCUAAGUACUGGAUACACAUAGCAAGAGGAGGCAUCUGCCCUUAUGUGAGAAUUAAUCAAGUUUAAAAAAAGAUAAUAAUUUAGGCAUUGUUUUACAGGCUGUAUAGCAGCUUGUAUCAUUCUCCCAAGGAUUCUUUGAGAUAGUUAGGGUUCUCACUGCUCCUUAUGGUGGAGAGAUGCAAAGCACAGAUAACUCAACAGCUGGAAAACAAAGUAGCCAGGGCUCAAAGCCAGGAAGUUUAGCUUCACUGACUGCCUGUAGCCACUAAGUGUAAUAAAUGUUACAGUGCUGAGAGGGGAAGUAAGUAAAGUUUAUAUGUGCUUGUAUGCUGCCCCAGGGAUAGAGUGGCAGCUGUGCCUGGGACAGGAGCUGAUGAGAAUAUACUUUGUCCCAGUAAUCAUGCUGGAAAUGGGCUAUGAAGGAAGAAGAAGAAGAGGUUCGUCUUCUGAGAGACCAGUAGCUAGGGGUAAAGGGGAGCCCUCUGUUCCACUGAGAAGAGCAUGUGACCAGUGAAGGGGUAAGGUGGGUCCUUGCAAGUCUAGUCAACAUCUAACCUUUCUGUGAUAUUCAUGUGAUAGAAAGUCACUGAAUGAUUUCAGUCUAGGCUUUGCAGGAAUGACUGUGUAGCUUAGGGUAUUUCCUCUAGCAACAGUAAAAUAAUGGAGUCCAAGCGGGACUUGUAUCACAGAGAAACAAAAUGGAGGAGGCUGAUAAGUCAGAGGAAGCCAAGGUUGUAACAUAUUCUUGCUUGGACAAGUU